UACGGGGGGGGCAAGCGUUGUUCGGAAUUACUGGGCGUAAAGGGCUCGUAGGUGGCCAACUAAGUCAGACGUGAAAUCCCUCAGCUUAACUGGGGAACUGCGUCUGAUACUGGAUGGCUUGAGUUUGGGAGAGGGAUGCGGAAUUCCAGGUGUAGCGGUGAAAUGCGUAGAUAUCUGGAGGAACACCGGUGGCGAAGGCGGCGUUCUGGACUGUUUCUGACACUGAAAAACGAAAGCCAGGGGAGCAAACGGG
rnacentral:rRNA from 1 species